CAAAAGCUUGGUCCUGGCUUUACUAUUAACUUUAAUUUAACUUACACAUGCAAGUAUCCGCAUCCCCGUGAAAAUGCCCUACAGUUCCCCUUAUCGGGAACAAGGAGCUGGCAUCAGGCACAACCUACACUAGCCCACGACGCCUUGCUUAGCCACACCCCCAAGGGAACUCAGCAGUGAUAAACAUUAAGCCAUAAGUGAAAACUUGACUUAAUUAAAGUAAAGAGGGCCGGUCAAUACUCGUGCCAGCCACCGCGGUUAAACGAGAGGCCCAAGUUAAUAGAUAUUCGGCGUAAAGCGUGGUUAGGACAAAUGUCUGCUAAAGCCAAAUAUCCUCAAAGUUGUCAUACGCUAUCGAGGACAAGAAGCCCAAUCACGAAGGUAGCUUUAUGAAGUCUGAACCCACGAAAGCUAUGGUACAAACUGGGAUUAGAUACCCCAUUAUGCAUAGCCCUAAACAUUGACAGUUAAAUACAACCACUGUCCGCCCGGGAACUACGAGCAUCAGCUUAAAACCCAAAGGACUUGGCGGUGCUUUAUACCCACCUAGAGGAGCCUGUUCUAGAACCGAUAAUCCCCGUUAAACCUCACCUUUCCUUGUUUUUCCCGCCUAUAUACCGCCGUCGUCAGCUUACCCCCUGAGGGAAGCAUAGUAAGCAUAACUGGUAAUGCCUAAAACGUCAGGUCGAGGUGUAGCUCACGGAAAGGGAAGAAAUGGGCUACAUUCCCUAAAAUAGGGCAUCACGGACGAUGUAAUGAAACUUACAUCUUAAGGAGGAUUUAGCAGUAAGAGGAAAAUAGAGAGUUCCCCUGAAAUUGGCCCUGAAGCGCGUACACACCGCCCGUCACUCUCCCCGAGCAAAAUAACUCAAAUUACUAAAACACUAAAACUGUAAAGGGGAGGCAAGUCGUAACAUGGUAAGUGUACCGGAAGGUGUACUUGGAUAAAC
rnacentral:ncRNA from 1 species